GCACCGAAAUAAGCAAACCCAUCGACAGUGCGAUAUCCGACAAGUAUAGGGAUAUGCAAGAGGAGUACUACGCGAAAAUAGCACGCCAGAUGAAAAUGCCCAUGCUUUGUGAGCUUACACCUCCAAAUUGCCUGGUUAAUGAUCCAACACUUCUUCACAUCCGUGAAUCUUCGAAGAAGAUAGUGCUUCGUGCUGCUCAAUUUAUUGUUGGGCUUUCAUCAUCAUUCGAUGGUGAGCCGCUAGCAUGGUGUUUUGGUUUCUGGAUUGAUUUG